AGAAUUCUAAAACUUAAAAGGAAUUUUACUGUAACUUAAACUUGCAGCGAUACGAUACGGCCAUGUCAACUUUUGUGGCACUGAAAUGUUACUGCAGGAAUAGCUUCUGGGUUUUAAAAAAUUAUAAGAGAUCAUGAGCAGGAUAAUUAUUUAGCUUUAAAAAUCAACCAAUUAAUAUACAUCUGGAAAUUCACAAUGCUUCGAGCCUUUGUUCAGCCUGGUACGCCUGCAUACCAGCCGCUUCCCAGCCACCUGUCUGCCAACACGGAGGUCAAGUUUAAGGGUACUUUGGUGCAUGAAGCUCAACUCAACUAUUUCUACAUCUCUCCUGGAGGCUGUAAAUGAAAAUACAGCAGAAUCAGAUCUGUCCAAUAAAUCCUGAUUGAAGGCCAGAACUGAAAGUAUUUCUUCUGAGGCUGAGAAAAAUUCCAUCUCAAACAUUGAAAGGGUAGAAAUAGGCAGUGAAGUCCUAGUGCCUGCUCUGUUUGGCCUUUCUGGGUUAAAAACAUACUUAAAAUUGAGUGACUCUGUUGUGGAAUAAAAUCCAAACAAUCUGGGUUGAAAAAGACUGCUUAGGGGUGUGUGGGUCACAGUGAUGCUAAGGGUAUUCUUUUUUUUUUUUUUUUUUUUUUUUGAGACGGAGUCUUGCUGUUUCGCCCAGGCCAGAGUGCAGUGGCGCUGUCUUGGCUCACUGCAAGCUCUGCCUCCCAGGUUCAUGCCAUUCUCCCGCCUCAGCCUCCCGAGUAGCUGGGACUACAGGCGCUUGCCACCGCGUCCGGCUAAUUUUUUGUAUUUUUAGUAGAGACGGGGUUUCACCAUGUUCGCCAGGAUGGUCUCGAUCUCCUGACCUCGUGAUCUGCCCGCCUCGGCCUCCCAAAGUGCUGGGAUUACAGGCAUGAGCCACUGCGCCCGGCCCGCUAAGGGUAUUCUUGAUAUCCGCUGGGAUAAUGUGACCACAGGACACCUUGCUUGCUUUCUCCAAGAAUCUCAAGAAGACUACAAACCCCAAGAAGGGAGGCAUCUUGUUCAAGAUCAUGUUGGGGAUAGAAGACAGAGUGAGAAUGAGAAAGCAGAGAUGUUCAUUUGUUUUAUGAACAUUUACUUAUCUGCCAAGGUCUGUAGCCCUGGCCUUCCCUGUGAAGAGCAGCAGCCUGAACCAACGUUCAGUGGCCGGGGCUGCCGAGCCAGGACCUUACGGGGCUGCAGCCUGUGCUGACCCAGGGCCUCCACAGUGCUUUGCUUGCAGAUCCCCCCAAAAGAGUUGUGAAAAAGUCUGUGCCUCAUCAUGCGUUUUCAAGUUGACAUCCCAAAAGUUUCAUGAUAAUUUUAAAUGGUUGUAAAUGAUGCAAUUUCUGGUGCUUUAUAAAUCUUGACAGUUUAACAUAAAAUUGUUGCAUUACUCUUUUAAAGUUUCCAAUAAAAUAUAAAC
rnacentral:lncRNA from 10 species